rnacentral:tRNA from 2 species
GGUAGCGUAGCUCAGUUGGUUAGAGCGAGGGACUCAUAAGCCCUAGGUCGGCAGUUCGAUCCUGCCCGCUACCACCA